rnacentral:other from 1 species
UGUCCUCUGCAGUGUCCGGCAGCGCACUCUUACAUAUUGCCUUGUUCCUAUAGACGACCCCGGGACGGCCAGCGAAAACCUGUGUGCAGGUCCGCCACGAGCGGAAAGCCUUAUGGUUCCGUCAGCCCUCCCACCUGAUCCCAGGGAUCAAGGUCGUUCGAUGCGCACCGGCACAUGGUGGAGGACAU